rnacentral:sRNA from 1 species
UGGAAAGUAUGAAAUAGAAGAAGAAAGGGAGAUGAAAACGGUCUAAUUAAGAAGACUGAAUAUACAGAAAAGGAGAAACAAAGCUAUGCAUAAGAAAGUGUGUGUGUGUGUGUGUGUGUGUGUCUGUAUAUCUGUCUGUCUGUGGCUGUGUCCAA